rnacentral:rRNA from 1 species
ACUGAAAACCUUCGGGGAUGUAGUCUGGAGAUGGGAUAUCGAAUCUCAGGAAGCCGAUAAAGUGGUCUGGAACGACACGCCGUGGAGGGUGACAGCCCCGUUCGUAUCGGUGGAAAGAGAAAGUAGAUACCUAUCAACGAGUCGAGUUGUUUGGGAUUGCAGCUCAAAGCGGGUGGUAAAUUCCAUCUAAAGCUAAAUAUGGAUAGGAGACCGAUAGCAAACAAGUACCGUGAGGGAAAGAUGAAAAGCACUUUGAAAAGAGAGUGAAAUAGUACCUGAAAUUGCUGAAAAGGAACCGCUGGGAAGCAGUGUGCGGGCCGUAGAGUCUCUCUACGGCAUGCAGUGAGGCUUGCUUCGAUGGUGAGGGAAAAGGCGUGCUUGCACUGUCCUACCAAUCCUCGGAGUGACUCUCACGAAAUGCUUCUCAUCAACCCGUCUUGAAACACGGACCAAGGAGUCUAACAUGUGUGCAAGUGUUCGGGAGUCAAGUCCCAAGCGCGAAAUUAACGUAAAGGUGGGUUUCGGCCCGCUGAGGUAGGAAGCUUCGGCUGCACUAUCGACCGACCAUGAUCCUUCGAGUGAAAGGUUUGAGUGUGAGCAUACAUGUUGGGACCCGAAAGAUGGUGAACUAUGCUUGAGUAGGACGAAGCCAGGGGAAACUCUGGUGGAGGUCCGUAGCGAUUCU